ACUAAGAUAUAUAAAAUGCAAUUUUGCAGCAUUUUCUUCAUGAAAAAUGAAACAAUUUUGCAACUUUUGGUUCAUUGAGAAAGAUGUUUGACAACUAGACGUUUCCAAAAACGAUUGCCCUGCGAAAGCGAAGGUGAAGAUAAUUAGCAAGUGAAUCAGCAAUAACCAUCGAUUCAGUUUCACGUCAAAAAUCAGGUCGCCUUCUUAUGAAUUAGUGCCUUUGAAAAUUAUGAGAUCAGCUCGCUUUCUUAUGAAAUUAUUUGGAUAUUAUUCAGUUUUAGGUUGCCUUUAUAUGAAAUUAUUUGGAAAUUAUUCAGUCUUAGUUGCCUUCUCAUGAAUUUUUUUUUUGGGGAAUUUUUCAGUUUCAAGUUGACAUCUUACGUAUGAACAGGAUUUUAAAAGAAGAAAUUAUCCAGUUUCAGUUUGCCUUCGUAUGAAAAUAUUUAUAUUCUUAAUCAGAAAAAUUAGAAUGCCACUGAUCAUCUAUAAAUAAUCGAAACCUCCGUUAACAUUAACAUUAAUAUACGUACGAUAACAAAUCUUUUCUUACAAGUUCGAUCAAUGGAGAAAUCAUAUGGUCUCUUCCUUUUUACUUGCGUUUGUUUCAUUUUAACCAUCGUCCCAACUAGACGUUUCGAAAAAUGAUUGGUCUGCGAAAGCGAAUGUGAAGAUAAUUAGCAACUAAGAUAUAUAAAAUGCAAUUUUGCAGCAUUUUCUUCAUGAAAAAUGAAACAAUUUUGUAACUUUUGGUUCAUUAAGAAAGAUGGUUGACAACUAGACGUUUCUAAAAACGAUUAGCCUGCAAAAGGGAAUGUGAAGAUAAUUAGCAACUAAGAUAUAUAAAAUGCAAUUUUGCAGCAUUUUCUUCAUGAAAAAUGAAACAAUUUUGUAACUUUUGGUUCAUUAAGAAAGAUGGUUGACAACUAGACGUUUCUAAAAACGAUUAGCCUGCAAAAGGGAAUGUGAAGAUAAUUAGCAACUAAGAUAUAUAAAAUGCAAUUUUGCAGCAUUUUCUUCAUGAAAAAUGAAACAAUUUUGUAACUUUUGGUUCAUUAAGAAAGAUGGUUGACAACUAGACGUUUCUAAAAACGAUUAGCCUGCAAAAGGGAAUGUGAAGAUAAUUAGCAACUAAGAUAUAUAAAAUGCAAUUUUGCAGCAUUUUCUUCAUGUAAAAUGAAGCAAUUUUGCAACUUUUGGUUCAUUGAGAAAUAUAUUUGACAACUAAAUGUUUCCAAAAAUGAUUGGCCUGCGAAAGUGAAUGUGAAGAUAAUUAGCAACUAAGAUAUAUAAAAUGCAAUUUUGCAGCAUUUUCUUCAUGAAAAAUGAAACAAUUUUGUAACUUUUGGUUCAUUAAGAAAGAUGGUUGACAACUAGACGUUUCUAAAAACGAUUAGCCUGCAAAAGGGAAUGUGAAGAUAAUUAGCAACUAAGAUAUAUAAAAUGCAAUUUUGCAGCAUUUUCUUCAUGAAAAAUGAAACAAUUUUUUUACUUUUGGUUCAUUGAGAAAGAUGUUUGACAACUAGACGUUUCCAAAAACGAUUGGCCUGCGAAAGCGAAGGUGAAGAUAAUUAGCAACUAAGAUAUAUAAAAUGCAAUUUUGCAGCAUUUUCUUCAUGAAAAAUGAAACAAUUUUUUUACUUUUGGUUCAUUGAGAAAGAUGUUUGACAACUAGACGUUUCCAAAAACGAUUGGCCUGCAAAAGCGAAGGUGA
rnacentral:lncRNA from 1 species